ensembl:lncRNA
AGGUUUUAGUACAUGAUAAAUGAGACAGCUCCUACCUAUAAAAGCAACAUAUUUGGACCUCUGUGUCCUCGCUGCUUUAUCUUGCACAGUGUCAAAGGCAAAGUGAUAAUGCUGUCAUGUCUAAUGGCAGCUUAGGGAAAUUACUAGCGUCUGAAAACACAUUUCAAAGAAUUCUUCUCAUUUUAAUCAUUUUGCAGACGUUUCUCUCUACUGUGACUUCAGCUUAUCUCCACCUAUGUUAGACAACGGGGAAAAUCAGGGUAGCAAACCAAUCAUUUGUUUAUUAUUUGAUACUAAAGAAUUUUAAUUUGUAAGCCGGGGAAACAUUUUCUCUGGAAUUUCUCUUUUAUAGGCAGUCAAAACAAAAUUUGCAGUUUAAAUCUGUGUUAGGCAGUUUGACUUUAAAGUUAAUAAGAGUCUUUUUUUUUUUUUAGAGCAGCAAUUUAUGGAAAAAAUGAACUCUCCAUGAUGUGUUCCCGUGCGAUCAGUUUGUGUCAGUCUGUACGAGUCUCACUAGCGAGCGUCGAAUUGCAGGGCAGGGCUGCUCCUGUCCUAACCGUUUGCUUUACAGCCCACCGACCACCACCACCAAGUCUGCUCACAUGUAAUGGCGUGUUCUCCCUGCAUGUGCCAUGUCCCACAUCCCAGCUGCAGCACGACAUCAUAAAAUAAGGGCUGACAUCUGUGAGUAUACCUCGGGUCACAAGGAGCUCUCUCCCGCUCCUCGUGUGCACUCGCACACAGAAAUGCGCGACGCUUCUCUCGACGUGUCUUGGGACUGAUCUUCUCUGAGCCUCUUCUCCUCCCAGUGUGCAGCCAGACAGAUGGAGAUUCAUCUCUCAACAAGCUGUGAUCUGUGUUUAGAGAUGUGUGCUGCAGAACACAACUCUAAUUAGGUUUAUUGUUGAUCUAGGGAGGUUAAUUUGUACUUGGCUGCAAGUGCUAAAGAAGGCCAACCUAGUUCCUUACGAGGCACCAGCACUGCAACCAUAAGAAGAACAGCUUUUUUAUCUUCUUGACUUUCGAGGUGAUUCAGAAUUAUUAUACCCUCUUGCUAUAUUUGUCUAGUUCGGUAUAAUUGCGCUUUGUACCGGGCUGAGAGAUCUGUCAUGGCCGGGGCGGUAGAACUGGAAAUGAGAUACUAGAAGUGUGUUUGUCUAAUGAGCUUAGGGGUACAGUUGUGUGGAUGUGGCAGGUAUUACUUAUUUUUUUUAUCCUGUUUUCUUUUUUUUCUUUUUUACAACCUCCAGGUAAGUAGCCUUGUCAAACUCUGAGAGAUGAGCCUGGCCCACACAAGUUUUUUCUCUCUCGCCACCUUCUUUCUUCACGCUAUUCACAGUCGUGUUUCUAAUGCACUCUGUGACAGAUCAGUUGUCAGCGGGAAUACAACAUAAUUAUGUUUCAUUUCGCAUUUCCGCCUAAUGGAAUACGCAAACAUUAUGGAGAUGAGACAAAGCAGGCAGUAACGAUUCCCUCCUUACCUGAGCUAAUUCUGUCUGAGGAGAAAUCUUAUUCAAGCAGCACUUUGCGCUUAACCAUGGCACUUUGAUAAAAUGCAUGCAUGUCCAGGGUGCAUGGGUGUCUAAAUAAAUUUGCCUGUAAAAGAAUUUACUUGUCUAAUGUUCUGCAGGUGUGUGCCAUUUGUGAAAGGAACAACUCUACCUAUAGGCCUGUUUGGUACUUUGCAGCUUGAGCAGCAUUGCACAUUUGUCUUGGUGUAUUUGCCAUUAACAGCUCAGUGUCAUGAGCAUGUAAGACUUACAGUUAAUGUGACCAUCACAGUAGUGCUGCACCGAAAAAUGCAUUUUAAGAAAACACAGCAUAUUCUUGUAACGACAGUUUAUGUUAUGGUGCCUAUUUUCUUUUAACUCAACAGGAUGGGAGUCAUCAGCUUUGCAC